rnacentral:rRNA from 1 species
UCCACGCCCUAAACGAUGCACACUAGUUGUUGGGAUGCUAGUCAUCUCAGUAAUGCAGUUAACACAUUAAGUGUGCCGCCUGGGGAGUACGGUCGCAAGAUUAAAACUCAAAGGAAUAGACGGGGACCCGCACAAGCGGUGGAGCAUGUGGUUUAAUUCGAAAAUACACGAAGAACCUUACCUAGCCUUGAUAUCCUUGGAAUCCUAUAGAGAUAUGGGAUGCAGUUUACUAG